rnacentral:rRNA from 1 species
GACGAACGCUGGCGGCGUGCUUAACACAUGCAAGUCGAACGGAAAGGCCCUGCUUUUGUGGGGUGCUCGAGUGGCGAACGGGUGAGUAACACGUGAGUAACCUGCCCUUGACUUUGGGAUAACUUCAGGCAACUGGGGCUAAUACCUGAUAGGUGCUCCUGCUGCAUGGUGGGGGUUGGAAAGUUUCGGCGGUUGGGGAUGGACUGGCGGCUUAUUAGCUUGUUGGUGGGGUAGUGGCUUACCAAGGCUUUGAAGGGUAGCCGGCCUGAGAGGGUGACCGGCGACAAUGGGACUGAGAUACGGACCAGACUCGUACGGGAGGCAGCAGUGGGGAAUAUUGCACAAUGGGGGGAAGCCUGAGGAAGCAACGCCGCGUGCGGGAUGAAGGCCUUGGGGUGGUAAACCGCUUUCGCCUGUGACGAAGCGUGAGUGACGGUAAUGGGUAAAGAAGCACCGGCUAACUACGUG